AGGAUUUAAGUUAAAUGUAAACUAAUAGUUUUCAAAGCUAUAAAUAAAUAUAUAAAUUUUAAUCUUUA
rnacentral:tRNA from 1 species